rnacentral:rRNA from 1 species
UACAGAGGUCUCAAGCGUUGUUCGGAUUCAUUGGGCGUAAAGGGUGCGUAGGCGGCGCGGUAAGUCGGGUGUGAAAUCUUGGAGCUUAACUCCGAAACUGCAUUCGAUACUGCCGUGCUUGAGGACUGGAGAGGAGACUGGAAUUUACGGUGUAGCGGUGAAAUGCGCAGAUAUCAGGAGGAACACCCGUAGCGAAGGCGGCACUCUGGGCCGGAACUGACGCUGAGGAGCGAAAGCGUGGGGAGCGAACAGG